GGUUAAGCGACUAAGCGUACACGGUGGAUGCCCUGGCAGUCAGAGGCGAUGAAGGGCGUGCUAAUCUGCGAUAAGCGCCGGUAAGGUGAUAUGAACCGUUAUAACCGGCGAUACCCGAAUGGGGAAACCCAGUGUGACUCGUCACACUAUCAUUAACUGAAUCCAUAGGUUAAUGAGGCGAACCGGGGGAACUGAAACAUCUAAGUACCCCGAGGAAAAGAAAUCAACCGAGAUUCCCCCAGUAGCGGCGAGCGAACGGGGAGGAGCCCAGAGCCUGAAUCAGCAUGUGUGUUAGUGGAAGCGUCUGGAAAGGCGCGCGAUACAGGGUGACAGCCCCGUACACAAAAGCGCAUGUGCUGUGAGCUCGAUGAGUAGGGCGGGACACGUGGUAUCCUGUCUGAAUAUGGGGGGACCAUCCUCCAAGGCUAAAUACUCCUGACUGACCGAUAGUGAACCAGUACCGUGAGGGAAAGGCGAAAAGAACCCCGGCGAGGGGAGUGAAAAAGAACCUGAAACCGUGUACGUACAAGCAGUGGGAGCCCCACCACUAAGCCAGUGGUGAACUCCACAUACGCAUCCUUUGCUGAGGAUACGGUUAACGGAGCGAAAGCGACGUUCAACCUCAAAAGAAGCAGAGGGGGCUUAG
rnacentral:rRNA from 1 species